GUGGACACAAUAAUCUGCUGUUAAGUGAAAGGAAAAAAUUGACGCAAUAGAUAGACAGAAAGAAUAUUUUAGGCCCAAUAGGUAGAUAAGAGCAUUUUUGCAUCAUUUUACAUAGUUGAAGAAUAUUUUAAGCUUGAAAGACAUUUUUGCACCAUUUUAUAUAAUUGAAGGACAUUUUAGGCCCUUUUUCACUCUUCCUUCAGGUUAAAAAAAAUGGGAAGAGAAUUAGUAGAACUCUGGUCCGCCCUCUUGCACAUUCUUGCUUAUUAGAAGCUUAUAUUUUUACUGGCUGAAAGUAGAGGAGUUAAAGAAUCUACAUCCACAUCUAAAAUAAAAAGUUAAAGAAAGUUUUAAUGAAUUAUAUGCCUACCAAAAGAAUAGUUAGAUAGCUGGUCUUCAUUUGUUUGAAGAUGGCUAGAAGUAGUUGGAAUAUAAUAAGAUAUUAAACCAGCUGUGCUUUUAAGGACGACACUAAUGGGAACAAAAACGGAAACUCCAAGGUGUUUGUCUUAGAAUAACAACACGUGUGAGAUCAGGCUCCUAGCCAGAGCUUACAAAAAUAUUGGAAAUUGUGGUGUAUGAGGCACUAUAGGCUGGAAGAGGAUGUAUUGCCAAAUUAUCUUCUUCUUCAUGUUACUUGGGAGUAAUAUAAAUAGUUGUACCAUAUAUGGCAUGGCAUAAAUGGAUAAUUCUCAUUAAUGUGAAGAUUUCCCAUCCUGCUGACAUUAACUGAGCAAUCAAGGUCAGCAACUUGCUAAUUUAACCUUAUAGUGGUAGAGAAUGGUCGAAGAAAGGUAUAAUUGGGGAAAUCUUCUGCUAACCCAAAACUAGGAUCGAAAGAUUCAACUAAAAAGAUAAAGUUUCUUGAAUUGGAUUAUAGAAGACGACUUCUUGAAUUUGAAUGACUUUUGGUUUUUGG
rnacentral:lncRNA from 1 species